rnacentral:rRNA from 1 species
AUUGAACGCUGGCGGCAGGCCUAACACAUGCAAGUCGAACGAGUGGCGGACGGGUGAGUAAUGUCUGGGAAACUGCCCGAUGGAGGGGGAUAACUACUGGAAACGGUAGCUAAUACCGCAUACCAUCGGAUGUGCCCAGAUGGGAUUAGCUAGUAGGUGGGGUAACGGCUCACCUAGGCGACGAUCCCUAGCUGGUCUGAGAGGAGGACCGGACACACUGGAACUGAGACACGGUCCAGACUCCUACGGGAGGCAGCAGUGGGGAAUAUUGCCCAAUGUGCGCAAGCCUGAUGCAGCCAUGCCGCGUGAAUGAAGAAGUCCUUCGGGUUGUAAAGUACUUUCGGCGGGGAGGCGUUACCCGCAGAAGAAGCAACGGCUAACUCCGUGCCAGCAGCCGCGGUAAUUC